rnacentral:rRNA from 1 species
GACGAACGCUGGCGGCGUGCCUAACACAUGCAAGUCGAGCGAUGAAGCCCUUCGGGGUGGAUUAGCGGCGGACGGGUGAGUAACACGUGGGUAACCUGCCUUGUAGAGGGGGAUAGCCUUCCGAAAGGAAGAUUAAUACCGCAUAACAUCUUUUUAUCGCAUGGUAGAAAGAUCAAAGGAGCAAUCCGCUACAAGAUGGACCCGCGGCGCAUUAGCUAGUUGGUGAGGUAACGGCUCACCAAGGCGACGAUGCGUAGCCGACCUGAGAGAGUGAUCGGCCACAUUGGAACUGAGACACGGGUCCAGACUCCUACGGGAGGGCAGCAGUGGGGGAAUAUUUGCGCAAUGGGGGGAAACCCUGACGCAGCAAACGCCGCGUGAAUGAGAAGGCC